ACCUUUACAACUUGGAUAACCGUGGUAAUUCUUGAGCUAAUACAAGCAUCACGCCCCGACUUCUGGUAGGGUGUAUUUAAUAGAUAAAAGCCAACCCGGGCAACCGGUCCUUUGGUGAUUCAUAUAACUUUUCGGAUCGCUAUCGUAGCGAUGGUUCAUUCAAAUUUCUGCCCUAUCAACUUUCGAUGGUAGGAUAGAGGCCUCCAUGGUUUUUACGGGUAACGGGGAAUUAGGGUUCGAUUCCGGAGAGGGAGCCUGAGAAACGGCUACCACAUCCAAGGAGGGCAGCAGGACGCGCAAAUUACCCAAUCGUGACACAGGGAGGUAGUGACAAGAAAUAACAUACAGGGCCCUUUCGGGUCUUGUAAUUGGAAUGAGUACAAUCCAAACCCCUUAACGAGGAACAAUUGGAGGGCAAGUCUGGUGCCAGCAGCCGCGGUAAUUCCAGCUCCAAUAGCGUAUAUUAAAGUUGUUGCAGUUAAAAGCUCCGUAGUUGAAUUUCGGGGCGGGGUCGGGUGGUCCGUCGGCAACGAUGUGUACUGCCAACGACCCUCCCUUUCCUCCUGGGCGACUGCGCAUCCCGCAAGGGGGCGUAGUCCACUCCGGAAUUUUACUUUGAAAAAAUUAGAGUGUUCAAAGCAGGCAUAACCGCUCGUAUACAUUAGCAUGGAAUAAUAGAAUAGGACAGUGGUCCUAAUUUUGUUGGCUUCAGGACCGCGUAAUGAUAAUAGGAACAGUUGGGGGCAUUUGUAUGGGGAGCUAGAGGUGAAAUUCUUGGAUUCCCCAAGACAAACUCUGCGAAAGCAUUUGCCAAGGAUGUUUUCAUAAUCAAGAACGAAAGUUAGGGGAUCGAAGACGAUUAGAUACCGUCGUAGUCUUAACCAUACACGAUGCCGACUAGGGAUCAGAUCAGUGUUACUUAAGCCUGUUGGCCCUAUGAGAAAUC
rnacentral:rRNA from 1 species